GACGAACGCUGGCGGCGUGCUUAGCACAUGCAAGUCGAACGAUGAAGCUGGAGCUUGCUCCGGUGGAUUAGUGGCGAACGGGUGAGUAACACGUGAGCAAUCUGCCCUUGACUCUGGGAUAACUGCGGGAAACUGUAGCUAAUACCGGAUACUUUCACUGGAAGGCAUCUUCUGGUGAAGCAAGAAUUUCGGUCAAGGAUGAGCUCGCGGCCUAUCAGCUUGUUGGUGAGGUAACGGCUCACCAAGGCGACGACGGGUAGCCGGCCUGAGAGGGUGACCGGCCACACUGGGACUGAGACACGGCCCAGACUCCUACGGGAGGCAGCAGUGGGGAAUAUUGCACAAUGGGCGCAAGCCUGAUGCAGCAACGCCGCGUGAGUGAUGAAGGCCUUCGGGUUGUAAACCUCUUUUAGCAGGGAAGAAGCGAAAGUGACGGUACCUGCAGAAAAAGCACCGGCUAACUACGUGCCAGCCGCCGCCGUAA
rnacentral:rRNA from 1 species